AGCCUUUUGGGGGCGGGGGCCACUGACCCACAGAAAAAUCAACCCGGGGCUGCACACAAGUGAGGAGCAAAAAAACCCAAAUAACUAAACUCUCCCUGUCCUGGCCCCCAACCGAGAAGGACUCUCUUCACCUUCCCCUCCCACACCAGAGCUGGGUUGGGGGGGGAGGGGGGCAAUCUAAUAGAUUUCGUGAGCUCCAGAUCUGUGGAGUUGCAGUGGGAGGCAGAAUUGCACUCUCCUGCCUGUACCCAAUUUUAAUAUAGUUGUACUCCUUUACAAAUGUUAUUUCUGUUUUUCUUAUUGCUCUGAACACCUCAUCAUUUCUCUGUGUUAUCGUUCUGCAGGGCAUCACUUCAUCAUUUAUCUGUAUAAUCGUUAUACGAUGUGUGUCAUGGCACUAUUUGUUUUUAUUUUAAUAGUUAAUACUGAAAAUCAGUGCUGCCCCUGGACCAGAGGAUGUGAACGGCCCCUGCGGACUGGUGAUGGAUGCACAGGUGGCAGAUACUGAGGAUCUGUGAUUUCCACUUGGACACCAAGACAGCCAGAGGAAAGCUGAAAGUGUCAACCAGCAGUUCUACACCCUGUUUCAGCACUCUACUAAAAGUUAUCAACCAAGGCCAGUUUCAGGAAAGGGGCAUGCUUGGACAAGAAUUCAGGGUCUCUCUUCGUUGUUGCGGAGCCGAUAGAGAAACUUGUUCACAACUAGUUUCCUAGCACUGGAAAGAGAAAGACUAACUUUAAAAAAGUCUUUGUUCUGUCAAUCCAGAGAGAAUGCUUGGCCCAAAACAAGGAAACUACUGGAUGUUUUCCACAGACUACAUUAAAGUGGUAAAGGCUAUUAACACCAUCCUGCUGUGCAGGGUUGUCAUGCAGGGCAAUGUGGAGCCCAUCGUCAUCGGCUUUGCUGUCAUGGGCUUCCCCCACUGGAGGGAGGCCAUUGAUGGCACCCACAUCCCCAUCUGGACCCCCCGACCACCAGGUCUCCUAUUAUAUCAACCAGAAGGGGUACUUUUCAAUGGUCCUGCAGGUUCUCAUUGACCACUGAGGCCGGUUCACCAACAUCAGUGUGAGUUGGUGGGGGAAGGCACACAACGCCUGCAUCUUUAGGAACUCCAGCCUGUUCCAGAAGAUGCAUGCCGGCACUUCUUUCUCUUACUGCACCAUCAGGGUCAGGGAUGUGGACAUGCCCACGUUCAUCGUGGGGGACACAGCCUUCCCACCUUCCCCCUGCCAGCAGACCAAAUAAACCAGAAUUUUUGGA